GAAAAGGCAGCAACAUCAACAUUCCACCAUCAUGAACAAUCCACCAGACAUCUAUGUUUCCUUCAGUAAAACGUUCUUGAUUUGUUGGAAACAAGUCAAUGUUUUUAGCCACCAAUAAAGCUUGCUGAGCUGCUGUUGUUUCUCGUACAGUGUCAACAAAAUUUUUCCAAGAGAAGUGAUUUUCUGUCUGCUUCCAUGACUGUGGCCAUGCCAUCAAAACUGUAUUGUGUUUCAUUCCUCCUAGGCCAGCUGACUGAAUUAAAUGUGAUAUUCCAUCUCUGAAACUAGGAGAUACCACAAUCUGGCAAAAUCCUUUAGUCUUUUCAACUGCCAUUAAAG
rnacentral:lncRNA from 1 species